rnacentral:rRNA from 1 species
CAAUAAGCGGAGGAAAAGAAACUAACAAGGAUUCCCCUAGUAACUGCGAGUGAAGCGGGAAAAGCUCAAAUUUAAAAUCUGGCGGUCCUUGGCUGUCCGAGUUGUAAUUUAGAGAAGCGUCUUCCGCGCCGGACCGUGCACAAGUCUCCUGGAAUGGAGCGUCGUAGAGGGUGAGAAUCCCGUCUUUGGCAUGGACACCCGGUGCUUCUGUGAUGCGCUCUCGAAGAGUCGAGUUGUUUGGGAAUGCAGCUCAAAAUGGGUGGUGAACUCCAUCUAAAGCUAAAUAUUGGCGAGAGACCGAUAGCGAACAAGUACCGUGAGGGAAAGAUGAAAAGCACUUUGGAAAGAGAGUGAAACAGUACGUGAAAUUGUUGAAAGGGAAACGCUUGAAGUCAGUCGCGUCUACCGAGACUCAGCCUUGCCUCGGCUUGGUGUACUUCUCGGCUUGACGGGUCAGCGUCGAUUUUGCCCCUCGGAUAAUGGCAAGGGAAAGGUGGCACCUUUGCGGGUGUGUUAUAGUCUCCUGUCGCAUGUGAGGGGUGAGAUUGAGGAACUCAGUGCGCGCCUCUGGCGUCGGGGCUUUUUGGCCCACGUAACGCGCUUAGGAUGCUGGCGUAAUGGCUUUAAACGACCCGUCUUGAAA